UACGAAGGGUGCAAGCGUUACUCGGAAUUACUGGGCGUAAAGCGUGCGUAGGUGGUGAGUUAAGUCAGAUGUGAAAUCCCCGGGCUCAACCUGGGAACUGCGUUUGUGACUGCAAGACUUGAGUGCGGCAGAGGGGGGUAGAAUUCCACGUGUAGCAGUGAAAUGCGUAGAGAUGUGGAGGAAUACCGAUGGCGAAGGCAGCCCCCUGGGUCGACACUGACGCUGAGGAGCGAAAGCGUGGGGAGCGAACAGG
rnacentral:rRNA from 1 species